CUUAUUGGCAGACCAAUGCAUUAGAAUUAGAAUCUAACCAACC
rnacentral:tRNA from 1 species